CGGUACGUACUGGCAUUGUUGGUUUCUCCCUUCUGACGAACCAUGAUGUCAUUUAUUUGGUGUUGUGGGGAAUCAGGACUGUUACUUUGAAAAAAUUAGAGUGUUUAAAGCAGGCUCACGCUUGAAUACAUUAGCAUGGAAUAAUGAAAUAGGACGUUAAUCCUAUUUUGUUGGUUUCUAGGAUCGACGUAAUGAUUAAUAGGGAUAGUUGGGGGCAUUAGUAUUCAAUUGUCAGAGGUGAAAUUCUUGGAUUUAUUGAAGACUAACUACUGCGAAAGCAUUUGCCAAGGAUGUUUUCAUUAAUCAAGAACGAAAGUUAGGGGAUCGAAGACGAUCAGAUACCGUCGUAGUCUUAACCAUAAACUAUGCCGACUAGGGAUCGGAUGAUGUUAAUUUUUUAAUGACUCAUUCGGCGCCUUACG
rnacentral:rRNA from 1 species